GCAACGGUAGCGCAGCCUGGUAACGCGCUGGCCUGGAAAGCCAGUGUCCUUGCGGACUCAUGGGUUCGAAUCCCAUCCGUUGCG
rnacentral:tRNA from 1 species